AUGGGGUUGGGUUUGAACUGCGUCAUUUUGGUUGUUCUUUUAAAAGGUGUCCACUGUGAGGUUCAGCUCGUUGAGUCUGGGGGAGGAUUAGUGCAGCCUAAGGCGUCAUUGAAGCUCUCCUGUGCAACCUCUGGAUUCACCUUCAGUGAAUAUGCCAUGUACUGGGUUCGCCAGGCUCCUGGGAAGGGGCUUGAGUGGGUUGCUCGCAUAAGUACUAAAAGUAAUAAUUACGCAACAAAUUAUGCUGAUACAGUGAAGGACAGAUUCACCGUCUCCAGAGAUGAUUCCAAAAGCAUAGCCUACCUGCAGAUGAACAAUCUUAAAACUGAGGACACAGCCAUGUAUUACUGUACCAUACACAGUGAGCAGUCUUCAGUGUGA